UGUUCAGCAGCAAAGACUACACCACCACAGCGUGGGCAACCCUCACCGGGACGAGCUUGAAUUUUGCUAACAUCAAUAGCAGCUGUACGGGGAGCCAUAUCACUACAAUUUUGUCAGAUGUAAAAGUUAAAGAAACUUCUAAACAAACGAUUUGCAGUAAAAAAACUAGUUCCUAUCUGCGGUAUUUUAGAACCUACCAAGGAGUCUCUCACACUUCUACAGAACUUUUAUCCUAGCUCAAGAACGAUUGCGAGCAUCUCUAUUUAUACUAUAGACAGAGAUCGGAAUGUACAGAAAUACACGAAGAGUAAAGAUUGUUAUUGUCGGAGGGACUCGCGGAAUGUAAUGGCUUUUUAUAACGAGCAAAGAUUUCUUUUUUGAAAAUCUCAAAGCGUUUACUAUUAAAGGUAUUCUGCUGUUCGCGCCACGAUGGACGAGCAUUUUUCUUUUGUAAACCCCAAUGACAGGUGAAUACAGGAGUCAAGACAUAAAAUGAGUAACCAGAAACAUACAUCUCGUAGACCUUCAAUCAGAAACACACACAAACGCCAACAUUAAAAUUGAAAUGGACAAAUCGUUGCCAAGGCAAGGGGUUCCAGCACAAUGUGUGACACAUACAUCUCUUGUUGCUUCCAUGAUUCCUACUACUCUUUGUGUUCGCCAUACUAUUGUUGUUCUCACAGUCACGUCAAGCUGUACUGUCGUUGCAGUCGUCACCGUCAUUGUUACUGUUAUUGCUGGAAGAGAAAAUGUUUGUUGUAAAAAUCUUAAAAUUUGGAAUGAUGAUAUAAAACGUUAAAAAUGCCCUUAGAAAUGCCUUUUUAAUUUUCUUUUUGUAAACAAUGAAAAACGCUCUGUAAAAUUUGUAUUUAUUAAGUUAAAUUAUAUCUAAAAAACUAUAUCUAUAACUAUUAAUAUAAUC